rnacentral:rRNA from 1 species
CAGUUCUGUGAUGACUCUGGAUGUCCGGGGCCGCAGUCGCUAUGACGGUUUCAGCGAGUCUGGAACCUGGCCCGAAAGGGUUGGGCAAACUGAACCAUAACCGUCCUGACAGGGAUCGGGGCUUGCAAUUGUUCUCCGUGAACGAGGAAUUCCUGGUAAGUGCAAGUCAUAAGCUUGCGCUGAUUACGUCCUGCCCUGAACACACCGCCCGUCGCUACUACCGAUUGAAUGGU